AUUGAACGCUGGCGGCAUGCCUUACACAUGCAAGUCGAACGGUAACGCGGGGCAACCUGGCGACGAGUGGCGAACGGGUGAGUAAUGUAUCGGAACGUGCCCAGUUGUGGGGGAUAACUGCUAGAAAGAGCAGCUAAUACCGCAUACGACCUGAGGGUGAAAGCGGGGGAUCGCAAGACCUCGCGCAAUUGGAGCGGCCGAUAUCAGAUUAGGUAGUUGGUGGGGUAAAGGCCCACCAAGCCAACGAUCUGUAGGGGGUCGGAGGGGACGACCAGCCACACUGGGACUGAGACACGGCCCAGACUCCUACGGGAGGCAGCAGUGGGGAAUUUUGGACAAUGGACGCAAGUCUGAUCCAGCCAUGCCGCGUGCGGGAAGAAGGCCUUCGGGUUGUAAACCGCUUUUGUCAGGGAAGAAAAGGGCGACUCUAAUACAGUUGCCUCAUGACGGUACCGUAAGAAUAAGCACCGGCUAACUACGUGCCAGCCGCCGCAGUAAUAC
rnacentral:rRNA from 1 species